rnacentral:rRNA from 1 species
UACAGAGGGGGCAAGCGUUAUUCGGAAUUAUUGGGCGUAAAGGGCGCGUAGGCGGCAUGGCAAGUGGAUGGUGAAAUCCCUCGGCUUAACCGAGGAACUGCCGUCCAAACUGCUUCGCUUGAGACCGGGAGAGGUGAGUGGAAUUCCCAGUGUAGCGGUGAAAUGCGUAGAUAUUGGGAGGAACACCAGUGGCGAAGGCGGCUCACUGGACCGGUACUGACGCUGAUGCGCGAAAGCGUGGGGAGCGAACAGG